GUCGGAAUUUUUCUGCCCUGGGAACCUGAUCCUAAACGUUCCCUGCUGCCCAGCCUCUGGGCGGCAUCCAAUGCCCUGGGCCCUCCUGACAUUGCGGCUCUGUGGUCUUCCUGGGGACCGUGUGUGGGGUCCUGCUGCGCCCCAGCCCUUCCCGACUGAGACCCUUUCUCCAGGCCUUUCUGAUACUGUCCUCCCUGCCGGAGAUGCCCGUGCCCCACCCACCCCUGGAGGAAUCCGACUCCAGUCGAAGAUGCAGCAGAAGUUGGACGCGUGAUGAAGACAGUGGGCUGAACGGGAAGACGUCCAGGCCGGAGCAGGAGCUGGCGGGCUCGGGCUGGGCGUGCAAACAGCUUCGCAGCCACGGGAAAUGCCUCGAAGGCCGGGGUGCCUCCGAAUUGAGCCGCUUCCCAAAAUAAUCCAGGGGGCAGCUGUCUCGGCUUUGGAGACUGAGUCUGGCUGCCUGAGCGGCAGGAAGCCCCAGGCCCCACACCAGCCCCACUCUGGGAACAGAUGGCACGAGGAGUAUUUUUUUCUUUUCCUGAAGUCAGCUGGAGCGCGAACAGCUUGUCUGGAGAAGUGCCCCUCCCCCUCCCUUUUGGCAGCAGAUCAAAGCCGCCGCCGCCCCUCCCCCAGCCCCUGGCCUCCUUCCCUUUAGGACCCAGGCAGCCGAGGUGGAGGGGCCUCACAGGCCUUUCUCACUGUCGGGUUUAACCCAGGGAGCAGCAGGGGCCCCUCGGUCCCUGGGAGCCAGGGCUGAGCUAGGGCAGCAGAUGCGGGAGGCAUGGCUGGUUGGAAAAUGGACAAUGGGGAUGUCGCAGAAAUGAUUCUUCUUGGAAGAGCGGGCCAGCUGACCUGGGUUGGCCAACAGCUGCAUGCAUUCAUUCAUUUAUCUGCCAGCGUUCCAGUCGAUUGGUAUGCUUACUGGCUGCAGACGGACUCAGCAGCGGGCAGGUGGGUUUUCACGUCUGCACAAGUCGUCGUGCACGAGCCGUUCCCUGCAGACCUUCCCUGAGCAGUUGCCGUGUGCAGGCCCCAGCUUGGAGCUCAGGGCGUAGAGAGCGCUCAGACGCAGGCGCUGUUCGGGCGGAGCUCAGAGCCCGCAGGGCAGGAGGCGGGGCAGGGCGGUGGGCAGAUGCAACGCUUGAGUCGGACUCGGGCGCGAGUCCUGGGUGCAUCCUCCGACUGCCCGGUGACGCUGGUGAGCCACUUACCUCCUGAGCGUCAGUUUCCUUCUCUGUCAAAUGCAAGCAAUAAGGAAGCUAUUUUUUGUAGGGUUAUUAUGAAUGUUAACCAAGAGAAUCCAUCUAAAGAGCUUGAACUAUUGCCCGGCACAUAGUGUUCCAUAAUGUCGGACGACACACCAUCCCCAUCAUCACAAUCACUCUCACCAUCAUCAACACCACCAUCACCAUCGCCAACACCACCAACACCACCAUCGCCAUCACCACCAUCACCAUCACCACCAUCACCAUCACCAUCACC
rnacentral:lncRNA from 1 species